rnacentral:rRNA from 1 species
GACGAACGCUGGCGGCGUGCUUAACACAUGCAAGUCGAGCGGUAAGGCCCUUUCGGGGGUACGACGAGCGGCGAACGGGUGAGUAACACGUGGGUGACCUGCCUUUAGCUCUGGGAUAAGCCUGGGAAACUAGGGUCUAAUACCGGAUAUGACUCCAUGAUGCAUGUUGUGGGGUGGAAAGCCUUGUGCGGCUGGAGAUGGGCCCGCGGCCUAUCGGCUUGUUGGUGGGGUGAUGGCCUACCAAGGCGACGACGGGUAGCCGGCCUGAGAGGGCGACCGGCCACACUGGGACUGAGACACGGCCCAGACUCCUACGGGAGGCAGCAGUGGGGAAUCUUGCGCAAUGGGCGAAAGCCUGACGCAGCGACGCCGCGUGAGGGA